AGUGAACGCUGGCGGUAGGCCUAACACAUGCAAGUCGAACGGUAGCAGGCCUUCGGGUGCUGACGAGUGGCGAACGGGUGAGUAAUGCAUAGGAAUCUGCCUAGUGGUGGGGGAUAACGUAGGGAAACUUACGCUAAUACCGCAUACGUCCUACGGGAGAAAGCGGGGGAUCUUCGGGCCUCGCGCCAUUAGAUGAGCCUAUGUCAGAUUAGCUAGUUGGUGGGGUAAUGGCCUACCAAGGCGACGAUCUGUAACUGGUCUGAGAGGAUGAUCAGUCACACUGGAACUGAGACACGGUCCAGACUCCUACGGGAGGCAGCAGUGGGGAAUAUUGGACAAUGGGCGAAAGCCUGAUCCAGCAAUACCGCGUGUGUGAAGAAGGCCUUAGGGUUGUAAAGCACUUUUAAUAGGGAGGAAUACCUGUCGGUUAAUACCCGUCAGAAUGACAUUACCUAUAGAAAAAGCACCGGCUAACUCCGUGCCAGCAGCCGCAGUAACAC
rnacentral:rRNA from 1 species